GUUUGAUCCUGGCUCAGGAUGAACGCUAGCGGCAGGCCUAAUACAUGCAAGUCGAACGGGAUCGGGGCUUCGGCCCCGUGAGAGUGGCGCACGGGUGCGUAACGCGUGAGCAACCUGCCCGUCCCAGGGGGAUAGCCCGUUGAAAGACGGAUUAAACCCGCAUGACGCUGUCCUUUGGCAUCAGGGGGCAACCAAAUAUUGAUAGGGGACGGAUGGGCUCGCGUGACAUUAGCUAGUUGGUAGGGUAACGGCUUACCAAGGCGACGAUGUCUAGGGGCUCUGAGAGGAGAAACCCCCACACUGGUACUGAGACACGGACCAGACUCCUACGGGAGGCAGCAGUAAGGAAUAUUGGUCAAUGGGGGGAACCCUGAACCAGCCAUGCCGCGUGCAGGAAGACGGCCCUAUGGGUUGUAAACUGCUUUUGUACGGGAAUAACCGCCAUUAUGUAUAAUGGUCUGAAUGUACCGUAAGAAUAAGGAUCGGCUAACUCCGUGCCAGCAGCCGCGGUAAUACGGAGGAUCCAAGCGUUAUCCGGAAUUAUUGGGUUUAAAGGGUGCGUAGGCGGUAGACUAAGUCAGUGGUGAAAGACGGUGGCUCAACCAUCGCAGUGCCGUUGAUACUGGUUUACUUGAAUAUGGAUGAGGUAGGCGGAAUGUGGCAAGUAGCGGUGAAAUGCAUAGAUAUGCCACAGAACACCGAUUGCGAAGGCAGCUUACCAAGGCAAUAUUGACGCUGAUGCACGAAAGCGUGGGGAUCGAACAGGAUUAGAUACCCUGGUAGUCCACGCCCUAAACGAUGAACACUCGGUGCCGGCGAUAGACGGCCGGUGCCCAAGCGAAAGCGUUAAGUGUUCCACCUGGGGAGUACGCCCGCAAGGGUGAAACUCAAAGGAAUUGACGGGGGCCCGCACAAGCGGAGGAGCAUGUGGUUUAAUUCGAUGAUACGCGAGGAACCUUACCCGGGCUUGAAAGUUACUGAAGUUGUCAGAGAUGAUAACGUCCUUCGGGACAGGAAACUAGGUGCUGCAUGGCUGUCGUCAGCUCGUGCCGUGAGGUGUUGGGUUAAGUCCCGCAACGAGCGCAACCCCUAUGUUUAGUUGCCAGCACGUGAAGGUGGGGACUCUAAACAGACUGCCUGUGCAAACAGAGAGGAAGGCGGGGACGACGUCAAGUCAUCAUGGCCCUUACGUCCGGGGCUACACACGUGCUACAAUGGAUGGUACAGAGGGCAGCUACACGGCAACGUGAUGCCAAUCUCGUAAAGCCAUUCACAGUUCGGAUCGGGGCCUGCAACUCGGCCCCGUGAAGUUGGAUUCGCUAGUAAUCGCGUAUCAGCAAUGACGCGGUGAAUACGUUCCCGGGCCUUGUACACACCGCCCGUCAAGCCAUGAAAGCCGGGGGUACCUAAAGCAUGUAGCCGCAAGGGGCGUGUUAGGGUAAAACCGGUAAUUGGGGCUAAGUCGUAACAAGG
rnacentral:rRNA from 1 species